rnacentral:rRNA from 1 species
GAUGAACGCUAGCUACAGGCUUAACACAUGCAAGUCGAGGGGUAACGAGAGGAAAGCUUGCUUUCCUUGUUGACGACCGGCGCACGGGUGAGUAACGCGUAUCCAACCUGCCCCCAACUAGGGAAUAACCUUGCGAAAGUAAGACUAAUACCCUAUAAUUUCCUCAGAUGUCAUCUGACGAGGAAUAAAGAUUUAUCGGUUGUGGAUGGGGAUGCGUCUGAUUAGCUUGUUGGCGGGGUAACGGCCCACCAAGGCAACGAUCAGUAGGGGUUCUGAGAGGAAGGUCCCCCACAUUGGAACUGAGACACGGUCCAAACUCCUACGGGAGGCAGCAGUGAGGAAUAUUGGUCAAUGGGCGGAAGCCUGAACCAGCCAAGUAGCGUGCAGGAUGACGGCCCUACGGGUUGUAAACUGCUUUUAUACAGGAAUAAAGUUAGCCACGUGUGGUUAUUUGUAGGUACUGUAUGAAUAAGGACCGGCUAAUUCCGUGCCAGCCACCGCGGUAA